AUCUAAAUAGCUUAAAAUUAAAGCAUAAUAUUGAAGAUAUUAAUAUAGAUAAAAUCUUUUAGAUA
rnacentral:tRNA from 1 species